AUCCCAGCCAAACCUUUUUUGUGUUUUUCUGAUUCAUGGGAGGCAGAAAUCAACAUGGUUAUUCGCUGAUAGCAUAUCUUCUCACUGAAAGGGUCUGCUUUUAGUAUGUAACCGCAGAUUU
rnacentral:snoRNA from 1 species